GGUUCAAGGAGGGAAGGAGGAGGAGAAGGAGAGGAGGAGGAGAUGAGACCAAGGAGAAGAGGUGAAGGAGGAGAGGAGGACACAGAAAAGAGAAGAAAGAGGAGAGGAGACGGAGAAGAGGAGGAGGAGUAACAAAGGAGGAAGAAGAGGAAGAGGACUAGAAGAGCAAGUUCCAGUUCUCGGUGCGCCCCGUUCUGCAAGACACUCUCCUGUGGUCAGCCCUGGUCUGCAGAGGAUUCCCGCGCUGGAUCUCUGAAGGAUGCUGGCGCCCUCUCUGCAGCACAUUCCUGAUGCCCUUGCUGACACGUGUCCUCUGGGCCCUCUCCUGAAACCUGAUUCUCCGGGGUGUCUUCUGGCCUCACCUCUUCUGUCCAGUUCCAGCAAGCUCACUUUGCUUAGCCUUUGAAUCCCUUCCUUCACUGUCUGCCAUGACAGUUCAGGCCUUUCACCGUCACUCAGGCCUGGACCAUCACUGUUGCCCAUCCCAUGCCAUCAACAGGUUUGCCCCAUCCCUUCGGCUCCCUACCAGGGCAUUCAGUUGUGUUGAGCAGCAGAGUGUCUCCAAGUCCCCACUGGUUGAGCUGCAUCCGGGUCCCAUCCCACAGGGACCCCCUGGCCGCUGCAGAUGCAUGCUGAUCCUGCAGCUCCUCGAGGGUGUCAUCGCUUUCCCCCUUCCCAGACCCAGCACACCCUGCCUGCAUGGCGCUGCGCUGCACCUUCACUCUGGUCACGGGUCUGGCAGUCAGCUCACCAAUUCCUCCUGCUUCCCUGGGACUUGCCGGCUUUUAGCACUGCAAUUCACUCAGCAAACUGGGACUGUUGGUCACCCUACCUGGCAGCCAGUGAUAAGGGCUGGUGUCAUUGGCAUGACAGACCUGCCUUGGCUGAGCGUUCACCUGUCUUUGGAGUUCAGCCACCUUAGCAAGUCCUGGGUUUGUUCUUCAGACUUUGCUGCUCGCCCAUUGCCUGGAUCGGGGGCUACUUUGUAAACCACCAGGAAGACUCCAGUGUUUCUGGUUAAUUUUUAGAUGUUUGUUAAUUGCUCUUGGUCUCUCAUUAAUCCCCUGUGGGUCAUCCAGGAAACAUACUCACCACUGUCUGUUCUCUGAGUUUUCAUUUCCAGGCAUCCGCCCUGCCUGGAUCUCCUCACCUGCCAGGAACUUCCUCUCCACAAGCCGGCCAUCCCAGCAAAAGUUCUAACACCAAAGGUCUGGCAACUAGCCUGCCAUCUUGUGCCUGGAGCCGCCUGCGUGCCACCUACUCCCGAAGAUGGGAACCUUGUUGCCAGUUGGGCAGAUGCGGGGCAAUCCUGUACCAAGACCCCAUUUUACCACCUGCUUUCUCAGACCACUCUGGAACCCACUGUCUCAGAUUGUGUCCUCCAGGAAGCAGACCAUGAGAGGGAGUUGGCAGGGCCAAAGAUUUACUGGGGCUAACUAACACUCAGGAAAGGGAUAGGAAGGAAACAGGGCUGGAGAGCAGGUUGAGCCCGACCUGACAGUCUCGAGCAGCCCAACAGGGAGGUGUGGAGCAAGGGUUGCCCACUAGAGGGGCCUGCAUUGGGUACGGGUGAUGGGGUCCACAUGGUACCUGGCAUAUAGCAGGCUGUGCAAUCCAUAUUAACUGACUGGAUAAAUUAAUGCCCAGAAAAGGUGCCCUGGAGAAUGGGUGUGUGCUGAACACAAUAGGGAAGGGCCCAGCAUCUGCCUUGGCAUAGGCAGAACUGUGCUGUGCCCUGCAACAGGCCACCUGAGAGCUGCUUUGAUCUUGUGUGUACAUUAGAUGACUGCCAGGGGCAUGAAGGGGAUGUGCUUCCAGGGCAUUUGCUGGCAGGGCGUCUCGUGAUCUCUUGGUAUUGGUGUGAGCACAGCCUGGCAGGAGAGGGCAGAUCUCCAUGCAAAGUAUGUCAGAAAGCAGAUGGAAGCCAGGCCCCCUCCUGAAAGAGGCUCCUUGAAGGCUCCUGGGACCACAUUAUCAUUCUCUUCACUCGAGAGAUGAGGACACUGAAAUUCAGAGAGGGGAAGUGAUUUGCCUCAGCUUGUACUGUAAGUGAUCAAG
rnacentral:lncRNA from 1 species